ACUGUAACCCUUUAAUUAGUGUUUAUUAACUGGUUCCACAAAUAUCUCUUGUUCAAAAUUGGCUUUUGCUCUCUGUCUCCCCCCGCCCCCCUCGGCUUUUGGACGAGCUCCUCUUUAGACCAAACCCCAAGAGGGGGGCUUUUGCACAGAUGCAAUCCAUUUUCUUCUUCUUCUUCUUUUUUAUUUUAUUUUUAGUGUUGAGCUUGCAAAUGGGAAUUUUACAUUAGUUUAGUUAAAACAAGGGGAUAAAGUUCUAGCAAUUUUCGAACGAAUUGGAAGGAAGUUCAAUGGCCUUUAGUGAAGUAUGAGGCUGCGGCAUUCUUUAUCCAGUCGAUUUUCUUCUUCUUCUUCUUCUUCGUCUUCGUCUUUUUUCCUACCUUUACAUUAAAAGAGAGGAUGCCCAGAUCACUAUUCAUCUUGAGGCAAAGGUUUCACAUUUAAUUGGUUCUUCUAUUAUUUAUUUAAACUUAAGAAGAGUCUCAGUAAGGACCAUUAUUGUAGGUAGCUUUUGGUUCAUGAACCGUAACUUCAUUCGUCCAUUUCCUUUAUGGAGAAGAUUUGGAUUAUGAUGGUGUGAUUGAGGGUGGAGAGUAAAGCAUUGUUCCAUGGUCGUUGGAGUUGGGUGGAGGCUCCGAUAAAAUCGAAAAUCUGUCACAAAAUAUAUAUUCCCUUUUUUACCUUUUUAUUUUUUCCUGAACAAUUCGAAUUUUCUGCAUGCAAAAAAGUGGAAUUAUGUUCACUGCAGUUCUUUGUUUUAGAAUUUCAAGAAUUGGAGUUGGUUGAUAGCUUCACGCUAAGAUAAAGAAGUUUAAUACUCGUUUUUUAGCCAUAAGUUCUCUUGUACACUCACGUCGUCUCUAUAUGUAUAUGUAAGUAUUAAUUUUGUUUAUGAACACUAAUUGAGUCAUUUGUUCUUCAUACUAGGUAAUCAGUUGAAAAACAAUGAAACUGAUUUUGAUUUAGAAAAGUGGAAUAUAUCAAUAUUGAUUCUCUGGUAGGGCAUUUAUAACUUUUGAGAGAUUGAUCACUUUCAUUUUUGAAUAUGAUUUUAUUUGUAGCAUUGGAACUUAGUAAUUGUUUCUUGGAAACAUAAAAUUAAUGUUCGUUCCUCCUUGACUUCAUAUUCCCCUCCCAAAAAAUUUAAAAUAAAAUAAAAAUGAAACAAGAGUCUGAAAUCAGAGAUGGUGAACCGAAAUCAUCUCUUGGGAAGCUGCAAGGGCAGAUUAAGUUGAUAUUAACACUUAAUAAUAAUAAUAAUAAUAAUAAAAGAUUAAGAUGGUAUUAACAAUAAUUGGAAUUCAUGUAAAUAAUUUUUGUUCUCCAGAUUCAUCCGCUGUGUUUACUUUAUUUUUGGCGUUUUGGGGAAUUUCCCUAUUGCUCUUUUUAAUUUCCAGAGAAAGCUCAGCUCGGAGGAGUCCUGCUUCAAUACCUGUUGCUGUUCUUGAUCUUCAAGACGGUUCCACUUCAAAACGAGAAAAUUUUCAUUUCUUUCUUUUGUUUCUUGUUUACUUUAGAUAAAUUAUUAAUGGGUUAGCAUUUUUUUACUUAUUCUAAUUCAUUUUUGUUCCUUUUGAAAUGAAUGAUGAUGGAUCGAAAGUGAGAAAAAGAAGAUUGAACUUUCUUGUGCAGUAAAAAUUAAAUCAUCACAAUUGCUUGCUGCCUCUAAAGAGUUACAAAAUCAUCGCAGGUCUUAUGGGGGAUGCUUUCGAAAAAGUAUGGAAGGGUGUUAUUACAACUCCGUGUAAUAGUCGACAACAUUGAUGUGCUUGUUGUAUACAUGAUUGUUAUCGCUACAUCUUCGAUUGAAUUGAGUUGUCUAUUCAUUUUUCUCCUAUAAUGUUGUUAAUCCAUAUUGAUCCAUGAGGCUUUUAUUGAUUGUAAACUAUGUCAACUGAAGGUGAUGUGCCUUCUGAAAUUACUUUUAAGUGGAAUUCAUGAUGUUGGUGUUCUUGAAGCUUCGUUUCGACAACAUUGGUUGAAAGAAAGAGUUUUUGUUUUUCUCUUCACUAGCCUGGAUGUGUUUGCACCAUUUCCCAGCUGAAAACAAAUUGGCGAGUUCCUUUUAAUUUGAAAAAUAUAUGGAAGUUAAUAUUUGGAUGUCUUGAUUAUUAAGUUUGGUACACUUAAUGAAUGUUAAAUCUUGUUACCAUUUAAUAAGCAGAAUCUAUAAUUUGAUUGGUUGAAGUUGUUUGAGACGCUUACUAAACAUGUAAUAAGGAAUUCGUUAUCCAAGUUGGUGAAGUUGACAGGCCUAAAACUACUGAAGUUGGACCUCAAGGGGGAAACAUAAUAACCAACUUGAUACUAGGUAUGAUUGACCUCAAAACUCCAUAGGUUUUUUUAAAGUCGUUUAGUCUGUAAUGUGUCAUCGCUACUAAAAUGUACUUAAUUAAUAAUGCUUACUCAGUUUGAAGCACGAAGCUUUUAUACUUCUAGCAAAAUAGGAUGCCAGUGGAAAUCUUUUCAGUAAGCAUACUCUUUGUGCUUUUCUUCAUUAAGAGAACUAGAUUAGGCAUCCUAGCCUGUAAGUCACCAUUUGUCUGUUUCUUGUCCUAGAAUACUCUUAAGAUGGAAAUUAAUACCCCUCAACAUAAAUUCAGACUCAGCUUCAUCAAUCCUUUCAGCACUCCAUUCAGUUGAUUGUUAUGCGACUAAAUUCUUAAUAACUCCAAGAGACCACAAGUUUUGUUUUUGUCUUAUAAAUGAGGUCCUCUUUAGGUUUAUGCAAGACAUGCCCCAACGAAGCGGUCCUUUUCUUAAUUUUUACUUUACCAGUUUGCUUGUAAUCUCGCUUUUUAUUUAUUCGACCACAUACUCAUCUUGACAUCCUCAUUUUUCGUAACAUUUUUCUUCUGGUCACUUACAACCCCACUCUCAAUAAAAUUUCCUUGUACUCUGUUUUUGAUUCUAUAUAUUUUCUUAAGAACACAUGGUGAAUACAGUUCUGUUUCUUGGAUAUUGUCAAAAACAUGAUGUGAAUUUAUUAAGAAAUAGGAAAGAAGUGAUAAAUUAAUUUUCUCCGCAAUAAAGAUUAUGUCCAAAUCCUCUAUGAUAGUUGAAAGGUUUAGUGAUGUUUAUAAAUGCUAGAAUUAUCAUUUUGCUGUUAUUUUGAAAAACUUGUUUGAAACAUAUGUAUCUACAAUUUUUAUGUAAGUACUAAUAGUUUAGCCAAAAAUGAGUACAUCGAUGGAUAUUUGACAUGUGUGCACGUACAUUUGAAACACUUCUCAGCAAUUUGGGCCUUUGCAGUCAUGUGUGAUAACUCUGUAAACACUACAUUUGUGAAGUUUGUAUACUCACUACACUGUUCUCUGCAUCAAACACUACUGUCAUUACUUACGUUUUUGGAAAGGGUUAUAGGAAUCUGGACCAGGGCUUGUAGCAGCUUUGUUGAUUGCCAUUUCGCCUGGUUACAUCUCAAGGUCAGUUGCAAGUUUAUAAUUGCAUUGUUGCUCAAUUUCUAUUUAUUUGUCAAGGCUGUGAACACUGGUUAACUUGCUUAGGCUGUGGCCUCAGCUUCUGGGUACUUCUAUAUGGUUUCAGCAUGAGGUGGUUAUGUUUUCAUAAUUAAUUUGAUCCCACCAUAUGUAAUGGUUCUGUCGAUUAACUGGGAGAUACUUAAUGAGAUUGUAUGUAGCUUAUAAUUGCACUUAUAUCUUUCAGGAUGUGCAGUCUGGAUAACAUAUGGCUACAAUGGAAGUGUUUUUCUUAAGGCAGUUAACACUUUCUUGGUACCCCUGUCUCCUAAGAAAAUCCUUUCCCCCUCUGUAGGCUAGACAGCACGCAUGUUAAAUUUGGUAAAUCCUUCUUUUAUUUUGUGCAGUAGAAUCUGAGAAAAGUUUGCCUUUUAGUUUCUACGGCAGUUAAAGCUAAAUUCUCUUCUGGAAAGCAAGCUACGGAAGUUUGAUCACAAUUUAGAUUAAAUUGCAUGUCUAUUGUGUUGUGGAAACGGAAAUUUGAAUUCUGUGUGCUGGGGCAACAAUAAUCCAUUACAUUCUUUUAUCUAAAGAAGCAUCACCCUUAAGACACAAGCGUUUGAAAUCAUAUAAGGUUCAUAACAUAGAGGUUGAUCUUAUGAUUUUUUCCUCAUGUCAUCUGACUCUCAAAGAAGUUUCUAAAAUUGAAAUUUUCGAUUUUCUAUUCACUCAUGAUUUGGCCUGGUUGACCCGAUCAUGAUAUUUUGCUAGAUGUGACUUUGUUUGGCAGAACAAAUUUUGCAGUAGAAUGUUUUGGUUUUAUGUUUGAAUUGUGCUCAAGUUCUGUGUUUCGAAUUCACAUGUACAAGAUGCUUGUAAUAAUUUCGCUGUUCAAAAUGGAGCAGUCUACUAAACUCACAGCCUAUAACUAUUUUCUCUUUCUUUCUCAAACCUAGGUCCUCCAAAUGUAUUGCUCUAUAUAUUUUAUUUGUGGUCAGUGCUUAUUGACACUGCAAUUGUCCCAAAUCUGUGGACAGUCCGGAGACAACUGUAUUUUUCUUUCCAAUUAAGCAAUACUUAAUUCAGAGGCCUCGGAAGUCAAUUGCAAAGAAAUCAGGUGCACAAUGCUGCUGCUAUGGCUAGAUUACUUAAUGCAACAGUUGUUCUUCCGAAAUUCGUCUACAGCACUAUUUGGAUAAAUAUGUAUCUAUUAUUGUACUUUGAAAGAUAAAAAGUAAAGAUAAGACGAGUGGUACUUUUCUUCUUUCUUCAUACUCUUCUCAUGCUUCAUUAUUUACUUUAUGGAAAAAUCGUGUGAAAAUUAAACUCAUCAUUUAACUUGCUGCCCUCAUUCCACACACACAUCUUCCAUAUAAUAAUAUAAUGUUGGGUUUCAAACUUGCUUCUAAAUGCAGCCUUUAUUUUUCUUUUGUUUUCCUUGCAAGACUUUAAUAAGUAUUCUAGAUGAUUAUUUUGAUAGCUAUUAUUAAAAAUAAAUGACAGACUCAAGUUAAAACUAUCACAAUUUAAGCCGCGAAGAUACAUACUUGGCAGUGUUAAUUUUGGUUCAACACUUAUCACAUAAGUCAUACCUACAAAUUACGAUGGUUGAAUUCAAUGCAUCAUGGAAAGAAUUACUUGUAUUGUUCAUAAUGAUCUUUGACCAUAAAGCCAUUUGUUGACCUUGCUCUUUGAACUCAUUAGUCACACCCUUGUUAGAAAUGGACCUGCAAGCUCAAUUGCUAAACCAAUUGUAAAGGGAAGAAUGCUGCUACUAAUUUAGUAUUAUUUGUCAAAUUCAUCAAGAAAGAAAUAGAAGAGUCCAGUAUAUGGUUUUGUUGUAUUUCGUUCAUCAACUUAUUACUCAAUCGAAACUGCAUUUUGCUUUGUAAUUUCUCUUUAUUUAGUCAAAGUUGUUUUCUCAUUAAAGUAUUCAUAUGGAGGGAGAGAGAAUAGCUAGAUUUAUCUGAUAUAUUUUUCAUGUUAGCAUUCUACGAUCACCUAGAAAAUUGAAUGUCUGAAAUGAACAUUACUCUGAAAUGAACAUUACUAAAAUCAUCAUUAUAUUCUAAAAAAAGGGAUGUAACACUAUGGAGGAAUAACUUAUUGGUUUUCCAAGCCGUCGACCACAUUAUUAAGUCAGCUGCAAAAUUAAAUUAUA